rnacentral:rRNA from 1 species
AUACGUAGGGGGCAAGCGUUAUCCGGAUUUACUGGGUGUAAAGGGAGCGUAGACGGUGUGACAAGUCUGAUGUGAAAACCCGGGGCUCAACUCCGGGAUUGCAUUGGACACUGCCAUACUUGAGUGCAGGAGAGGUAAGCGGAAUUCCUAGUGUAGCGGUGAAAUGCGUAGAUAUUAGGAGGAACACCGGCGGCGAAGGCGGCUUACUGGACUGUAACUGACGUUGAGGCUCGAAAGCGUGGGGAGCAAACAGGAUUAGAUACCCUGGUAGUCCACGCGGUAAACGAUGAAUACUAGGUGUUGGGGGUCUAUAGACCCUCGGUGCCGCAGCAAACGCAAUAAGUAUUCCACCUGGGGAGUACGUUCGCAAGAAUGAAACUCAAAUGAAUGGACGGGG